AGUGAACGCUGGCGGUAGGCCUAACACAUGCAAGUCGAACGGCAGCACAGUAAGAGCUUGCUCUUACGGGUGGCGAGUGGCGGACGGGUGAGGAAUACAUCGGAAUCUACUUUUUCGUGGGGGAUAACGUAGGGAAACUUACGCUAAUACCGCAUACGACCUACGGGUGAAAGCAGGGGAUCUUCGGACCUUGCGCGAUUGAAUGAUCCGAUGUCGGAUUAGCUAGUUGGCGGGGUAAAGGCCCACCAAGGCGACGAUCCGUAGCUGGUCUGAGAGGAUGAUAAGCCACACUGGAACUGAGACACGGUCCAGACUCCUACGGGAGGCAGCAGUGGGGAAUAUUGGACAAUGGGCGCAAGCCUGAUCCAGCCAUACCGCGUGGGUGAAGAAGGCCUUCGGGUUGUAAAGCCCUUUUGUCGGGAAAGAAAAGCAGCAGGUUAAUACCCCGCUGUUCUGACGGUACCCAAAGAAUAAGCACCGGCUAACUUCGUG
rnacentral:rRNA from 1 species